rnacentral:rRNA from 1 species
UACAGAGGUCUCAAGCGUUGUUCGGAUUCAUUGGGCGUAAAGGGUGCGUAGGUGGCGCCAUAAGUCAGGUGUGAAAUCUCGGGGCUCAACCCCGAAACUGCACUUGAUACUGUGGUGCUGGAGUACUGGAGAGGAGAUUGGAAUUUACGGUGUAGCAGUGAAAUGCGUAGAUAUCGUAAGGAAGACCAGUGGCGAAGGCGAAUCUCUGGGCAGUUACUGACACUGAGGCACGAAGGCCAGGGGAGCAAACGGG